rnacentral:lncRNA from 10 species
ACAGGAGAUAAUCCAGUCCAGAAGCAGGUGUUAAUAGAAAGAGCUCAGAGAAACUGUUGGUGCUAUCCAACAAGCAAACACGCAUCAAGACAAGCAAAGAAAUACAGACAGAACUUUAAAAUGAAGACAUUCUAAGAUCUCACUUUUAACUGAUAACCUGGAGGCAACGUUUACCAAGAUGGAUGGGCACAUAUCUAGGAACUGUCAAAAUCCAGGAAUGCUGGAAGAAGUAUGCAUUUGAGGACACUUAAGAAAUCAACUAUGAGUUUGAAACCAAGUUACAAAAGGAGAGAGCAACCACAUUUUUCAAAGAGAUUUUCUUUUGUCAUGGCCCAAUUCGAUCUUCACAGCGGACAACAUACAGCCGG